UGUCAACAGAGCUAUCUAUAAACAAUG
rnacentral:piRNA from 1 species